rnacentral:rRNA from 1 species
GACGAACGCUGGCGGCGUGCUUAACACAUGCAAGUCGAACGGAAAGGCCCUGCUUUUGUGGGGUGCUCGAGUGGCGAACGGGUGAGUAACACGUGAGUAACCUGCCCUUGACUUUGGGAUAACUUCAGGAAACUGGGCUAAUACCGGAUAGGCGCUCCUGCUGCAUGGUGGGGGUUGGAAAGUUUCGGCGGUUGGGGAUGGUCUCGCGGCUUAUCAGCUUGUUGGUGGGGUAGUGGCUUACCAAGGCUUUGCCGGGUAGCCGGCCUGAGAGGGUGACCGGCGACAUUGGGACUGAGAUACGGCCCAGACUCCAACGGGAGGCAGCAGUGGGGAAUAUUGCACAAUGGGCGGAAGCCUGAUGCAGCAACGCCGCGUGCGGGAUGACGGCCUUCGGGUUGUAAACCGCUUUCGCCUGUGACGAAGCGUGAGUGACGGUAAUGGGUAAAGAAGCACCGGCUAACUACGUG